rnacentral:rRNA from 1 species
UACGUAGGGCGCAAGCGUUAUCCGGAAUUAUUGGGCGUAAAGAGCUCGUAGGCGGUCUGUCGCGUCGGCUGUGAAAUCUCGGGGCUCAACCCCGAGCCUGCAGUCGAUACGGGCAGACUAGAGUGCUGUAGGGGAGACUGGAAUUCCUGGUGUAGCGGUGAAAUGCGCAGAUAUCAGGAGGAACACCGGUGGCGAAGGCGGGUCUCUGGGCAGUAACUGACGCUGAGGAGCGAAAGCGUGGGGAGCGAACAGG